AUCUAUGGCCAUGCCACCCUGAACAAGCCCAAUGUCUGAUCUUGGAAGCUAAGCAGGAUUGGGCCUAGUUAAUAUUUGAAUGGGAGACUACCUAGGAAGACCAGGUGCUGUAGGCA
rnacentral:rRNA from 1 species